ensembl:lncRNA
GGGGGUCUACUAGGAGAACAGGGGUUGAAAGAGGGGGUCUACUAGGAGAACAGGGGUUGAAAGAGGGGGUCUACUAGGAGAACAGGGGUUGAAAGACGGGGUCUCCAAGGAGAACAGGGGGGUUGAAAGAGGGGUCUCCAAGGAUAACAGGGGGUUGAAAGAGGGGGUCUCCAAGGAUAACAGGGGGUUGAAAGAGGGGGUCUACUAGGAGAACAGGGGGUUGAAAGAGGGGGUCUCCAGGGAGAACAGGGGGUUGAAAGGAAGUGCGUCUUAGUCACCAGAUCUCAACCCAAUUGAACACUUCCGGGAGAUUCUGGAGUGGCCUCUUGAGACAGCGUUUUCCACCACCAUCAACAAAACACCAAAUGGUGGAAUUUCCCGUGGAAGAAUGGUGUCGCAUCCCUCCAGUAGAGUUCCAGACACGUCUUGAAUCUAUACCAAGGAGCACUUUUAACAUUUUUUUUAAACCUUUAUUUAACUAGGCAAGUCAGUUAAGAACAAAUUCUUAUUUUCAAUGACAGCCUACCAGGGAACAGUGGCUUAACUGCCUUGUUCAGGGGCAGAAUUUGUACCUUGUCAGCUCAGGGAUUAGAACUUGCAACCUUCCAGUUACUAGUCCAACGCUCUAACCACUAGGCUACCCUGCCGCCCCUACACUCUAACCACUAGGCUACCCUGCCGCCCCUACACUCUAACCACUAGGCUACCCUGCCACCCCUACACCCUAACCACUAGGCUACCCUGCCGCCCCUACACUCUAACCACUAGGCUACCCUGCCGCCCCUACACUCUAACCACUAGGCUACCCUGCCGCCCCUACACUCUAACCACUAGGCUACCUGCCGCCCUUACACUCUAACCACUAGGCUACCUGCCGCCCUUACACUCUAACCACUAGGCUACCUGCCGCCCCUACACUCUAACCACUAGGCUACCCUGCCGCCCCUACACUCUAACCACUAGGCUACCUGCCGCCCCUACACUCUAACCACUAGGCUACCUGCCGC